UGGGGAAUAUUGCACAAUGGGGGAAACCCUGCUGCAGCGACGCCGCGUGAACGAAGAAGGUAUUCGUAUCGUAAAGUUCUGUCCUAUGGGAAGAUAAUGACAGUACCAUAGAAGAAAGCUCCGGCUAAAUACGUGCCAGCAGCCGCGGUAAUACGUAUGGAGCGAGCGUUGUCCGGAAUUAUUGGGCGUAAAGGGUACGCAGGCGGUUUAAUAAGUCGAAUGUUAAAGAUCGGGGCUCAACCCCGUAAAGCAUUGGAAACUUGUAAACUUGAGAAGUGGAGAGGAAAGUGGAAUUCCUAGUGUAGUGGUGGAAUACGUAGAUAUUAGGAGGGAUACCAGUAGCGAAGGCGACUUUCUGGACACAAACUGACGCUGGGGUACGAAAGCGUGGGGAGCAAACAGG
rnacentral:rRNA from 1 species